CUGAGAUUGAUAACAACGAGAACAAGGCAGGAACGGGAGCCGGGAUGACUGUCGGAGGAGGACCGGCUCUGAGCGGUGCCGGAUGGGAAAUGGAUGAAACUCUGUCGGCACGGGAGGGACACAUGCUUUGGGAUAAACACCUGGAGCAAAUGCAAUUCAGCAGAUGCUGCGGCGGCCAAAAUGCAGCAAAACCAGCACUUUUGAGAGACUCCUGAGGGGAAAGAAGUGCGACUCCACUGACGGAUGUGUUCACAGCAGGUGGAGCAGCAUCACCUGUAGCCCACACGCAGCAGAGUUCAGACGAGAUGCACCACGUCUGUAUGUAAAAGAAGCGGACAUGGCUUCCAAAUGUGGUUUGUCUAAAGGCGUCCUCCCCAGGGAACUGGUUUCAGAUGGUGUCUUAGAGUAUAAAAUCCCAUCUAGCACCAUUUGAAAUCGGUGUUCUUGAGUGGGAACAGACUCCAGGAGGGACGACAGAAACGACCUUAAGUUAAUGUAAAGUUUGGGAUUUCUGUUUGAUGGCGUUUAUUCAUAAUUCUUUGAAGGUCUAGUCAAGAUUUAUGACCCCUUCAACUGUAAAACAGUCCAGGAUUGUAGAAAACAAACAAAACAAGAUAUCCACUGAUGAUGGAAAUGCAGAUUGCUUCUCUCAGUCGGUUCUAUCUGCAGCCGAUGUCCCAGAGAUUAGAAGAAAAAGAAGAGUGGGACAAGUGCGCCUGUCUGACCCCCUCUCAUCAAGGCUGACCGUUUUCCUCUGGUGUUCAGAGUUUCCAUCAUGUCUAGCACCAUUUGAAAUCGGUUACAAUGCGGAGGGAAUAUCAACAAGUCUUCAGCUCCGGCACUGACGUAACAAGUCCUGAAAACCACCACAAGAUGGCAGCAAUGCAAUUCACACCAUCAUCUGAGGAAAAGACGAGCCAGAAAGGAUCAUUGAUGAGACAAAAAAAGAAAACCCGAAGCAUGAGUUGAUGAGCUGUUGUCUUUUUUUUUUUUCCUGUUUUUUUUUUUUUUAAGAAUCUAGGUUCUCCUUUAACCUUGUGACCAUCACUCAACCGUGCUGUGUUGGAUUUUCUGCUACAAUCUUCUUCUUCUGUACUUGAGAUGAUAAAUCAAUGGAUUAUCUGCUUCAGUGCUUCAGUGGUUGAACGGUUGAGUGCCCGCUCGGUGCAGAAGUCUCAAAAGUGCGGGAGUUGUUCCUCCUUGGAUUAAAUCAACAUAUAAGCCUCAUUCUAGCAUCAUAUUCAAAACAUAAGGACAUAUGACUCUGGCCAAGAAUAAACUACUAAAACAACCUCUAAAGCCAAA